AAUAAGUAAGCCUUUAGAGCCUAUUAACCGUGUGCACAGGAGUAACACGUUAGCAGAGCAACGUGAUUUACGGAAACUUUUCUUAAACAGGUAUCCGCGCAUACUCUGUACAUCACGGAUGAUUCAAACGUGGCUAUGUUCCCCGGUGCGGUCUCUGGUGUUUUCAGCGCAUUAGACCUUACACCCAGAGGUCACUAUGAAGUCCACGGAGAAGACAUGGAGUCAAUUCCAACAGCAGGUUCCAGCGGGCAGCGUUUUGCAUUUAUGCGAGCACCAGCUGUGGCAGCGUCUGCACCUUCACGUUCACAGCAGGCUACUUCAAGUUCCCCUAUGUCCUCCAAAACAUUUCAGAGAUCAGUGUACUUUGCAGAUGUAGUUGGUGGGAGGUUGAUUCCCAAUAGAAUGGUGGUUGUACGAUUCCUGGAGUCUGAGGCUACGCUUCAAGGGAUAGUAGGAAAAGUGCAAGAUGCCAUUGGUAAUUACAACCCAAUAAUUUUGACAGAUGCACAGGGCAAUGCAAUUCUGGAGUCGGAGGGCACAACAGGGUCACAGUACUGGAGACAAAAUGCACGAAAAAUUCUUGCUGUGCCUGAACAAGACUUUAAUUGCCUCCAGGGAACAAAGAGGAAGAAACUGAGCAGCCGUAAAGAUGAUGACAGUGCCAGUUUGGGAGAAGUGAGUGACAAAAUAGAAGAGUUGGUGUUGGCAUCUCAAAGUCUGCCAGCUGUCACAGCAGCAAUCAAAGAGCUCACUGAUCUUGCAGUUGCCCAGAAAGUCACAACCCCCAAGCUGCAGACACUCAAGGAGGGAUUUAGCUG
ensembl:lncRNA